rnacentral:rRNA from 1 species
GACGAACGCUGGCGGCGUGCUUAACACAUGCAAGUCGAACGGAAAGGCCCUGCUUUUGUGGGGUGCUCGAGUGGCGAACGGGUGAGUAACACGUGAGUAACCUGCCCUUGACUUUGGGAUAACUUCAGGAAACUGGGGCUAAUACCGGAUAGGAGCUCCUGCUGCAUGGUGGGGGUUGGAAAGUUUCCGCGGUUGCGGAUGGACUCGCGGCUUAUCAGCUUGUUGGUGUGGUAGUGGCUUACCAAUGCUUUGACGGGUAGCCGGCCUGAGAGGGUGACCGGCCACAUUGGGACUGAGAUGCGGCACAGACUGCUACGGGAGGAAGAAGUGGGGAAUAUUGCACAAUGGGCGGAAGCCGGAUGCAGAAACGCCGCGUGCGGGAUGACGGCCUUCGGGUUGUAAAACGCUUUCGCAUGUGACGAAGAGUGAGUGACGGUAAUGGGUAAAGAAGCACCGGCUAACUAAGUG